rnacentral:rRNA from 1 species
UACGUAGGGGGCUAGCGUUGUCCGGAAUCAUUGGGCGUAAAGCGCGUGUAGGCGGUCCGGUAAGUCCGCUGUGAAAGCCUGGAGCUCAACUUCAGAAUUGCCUUUAAGACUGCAUCGCUUGAAUCCGGGAGAGGUGAGUGGAAUUCCGAGUGUAGAGGUGAAAUUCGUAGAUAUUCGGAAGAACACCAGUGGCGAAGGCGGCUCACUGGCCCGGUACUGACGCUGAGGUGCGAAAGCGUGGGGAGCAAACAGG